UACGGAGGGUGCAAGCGUUAAUCGGAAUUACUGGGCGUAAAGCGUGCGCAGGCGGUUUGUUAAGUCUGUUGUGAAAUCCCCGAGCUCAACUUGGGAAUUGCAAUGGAUACUGGCAGGCUGGAGUAUGGUAGAGGAAGGUGGAAUUCCCGGUGUAGCAGUGAAAUGCGUAGAGAUCGGGAGGAACACCAGUGGCGAAAGCGGCUCUCUGGACCACAACUGACGCUGAGGCGCGAAAGCUAGGGGAGCAAACAGG
rnacentral:rRNA from 1 species